AUGAGGGCCUCCACUCAGCUCCUGGGUCUCCUGCUGCUCUGGCUUCCAGGUGCCAGAUGUGACAUCCAGCUAACACAGUCUCCAUCCUUCCUGUCUGCAUAUCUGGGAGACAGAGUCACCAUCACGUGCCAGGCAAGUGAAGACAUUAGUAUCAGUUUAAAUUGGUACCAGCAGAAGCCAGGAGAAGCUCCUAAGAUCCUGAUCUAUUCUGCAACAGAACUGGCAAAUGGUGUUCCAUCAAAGUUUAGUGGUGAUGGACAUGAAACAGAUUUUACCCUCAGCAUCAACAAUGUGGUGCCUGAAGAUGCUGCAACUUAUUACUGUCAGCAACGUUAUGACACCCCUCCCACAGUGAUACAAGUCAUAACACAAAACACCUGGGUAGGGGCAGUGUGA